AUGGACUUGGAAAGGCACUUGUAUAGUAGAAGCUGCCAAAGAACAUGUAGCUUUGUACCUGACAGCCUUUAACCUAAAGUAACUUUCCAAGGGAACAUUUCCUAGGGUUAGAAUUUGUAGUAACAGAUGUGAAGUACUAUUAGCUGUUUAAUGAGCAUGCAUGAUACUGUGAAGAGAA